GAAGAAACGGACUAAAACCCUUUCUUAGACACAUUUUCUAUUCAAUUGAACUAUUUGGUCCGGAUUUGAGCAUUGGCGAAACUGAAGGUGUCAGACUAAUUACAAAACAUGCGUCGAAGUAGUCGUGUGUGAGUCUGGCCAAUCAUUAAAUAGCUACUUCACCAACUUCACGGAGCUGUUUUUAACUCCUCCCCGACGGCAAGCUUCUACUCUCGCCGGUCGUUUCAUCACUUAAAAGUUUUUUAUCCACGGUUACUUGAGCUCUAAAUCAAUGUAAUUUGUCAUACGUAAAGUGAAGUUUCCCUACGUUUUAACAUUUGAGACCUAAUGUUUUUAAAGAUCAAAGCUAUGUUGCAGUCCUAACACUUAUGAAGAUUCCCUACUGGCCAAUUAUACUUGAUCAUGGGCGGAGACUAGACAAAGAAGACGCCUUAACGAGUGGGAAAUGGCUGCGGUGGUUGUUGAAGUGACAGAUCCUCUCUGUCUUCGAAGUCAGGUCAGGAAGCAAGCGGCUGCCUCUAUUGGUGAAUCUCGCAGCUACAACAGAACGCCUUGGAAAGAGCUGCAGAGAUCCUGCGGAAGAAUCCUUUAAUGGACUUUUUCUUCUUCUGUUUCUCUACGCUGGAGGACUCAGCAGGAUCUGGGCCUGGUCAGGGAACACCAUCACACAACAGGAGAUGAUGUCACACAUAACCAGCACUGUCCAUUUACUUGAAAAGAGCGUGUGUGUGUGUGUGUGACAAUAUAUCAUGAUCUCACUUCCACAGUUGAGGGGAGUAACUGAGUUAGUCUUCUUCUGUCCUUUGGCAGCAGCACUCUGUGUGACCUUGGUGACAGCAUUGGUCUUCUUUCUCAUCUGGGAUGGAAGUGAGACCAAAGACAAACAUAGUUCCUUAAAAUUAUUAAGUGUUUUACAUUAUGUUGACGGGAAAUAAAUGAGCAAAGUCUAGUUCAGGCAUGGCACUCUGGCAGCGCGCGUCAUCCACUCAUUAACUACACCUGUGUUAGCCUGCUCAAGCCCAUUGAGCUACGUCCGAUUAGGCGGCAUUCAAAGGCUGCGCAGAUACACACACACACUCACCCCCGGUUGCUGUAUGAUCUGUGCUGCUGCCAACCUCCACCCUCCCCUUCUCCCCCUUGUCAUCUGUAUGUUCUAUCCAUCAGGGGGAUUAUAUCUCUAUCUGCUCCCUGCCUCAUAUUCUAUGUAUGUAUGUUGCUCGCUAAUGCUGCUCGCUAAGGUAGGGACUGGGUCUCCUAGAUACAUACACUGCCAAAGUCAAACCUAUUUCCAUGUCUAUGGUUAUCAAUAAAUGCUCAAAUUUAAUACGUGAGUGUCUUGACUGAACUACAUUAACUGUAACUAUAUAUCUAAUGUGAUGG